rnacentral:rRNA from 1 species
UACGUAGGGGGCUAGCGUUGUCCGGAAUCAUUGGGCGUAAAGAGCGUGUAGGCGGUCCGGUAAGUCCGCUGUGAAAGUCGGGGGCUCAACCCUCGAAUGCCGAUGGAUACUGUCGGGCUAGAGUGCGGAAGAGGCGAGUGGAAUUCCUGGUGUAGCGGUGAAAUGCGCAGAUAUCAGGAGGAACACCUAUUGCGAAGGCAGCUCGCUGGGACGUAACUGACGCUGAGACGCGAAAGCGUGGGGAGCGAACAGG